UCAAGGCAGUGGAUUGUGAAUCCACCAUGACGA
rnacentral:tRNA from 1 species